GUGCUCAUUUUGGCAGCACAGAUACUAAAAUUGGAAUGCUACAGAGAUUAGCAUGGUCCCUGUGCAGGGAUGGCAUGCAAAUUCACAAAGGACUCCAUAUUCUU